GUGCGCCAGCGACCCGCCCGGCCCGCGGCUCCGCCCCUGUUCGGCUUUUGGCUUGGGUGCCCACAGCAGGACUCCUGCGCCCGGUACCCCGCCUCCAGCUCGGGCAAUCCUGCCCUCGGCUCUGGACCACCCCGAUCCCGCCCCACGCUCUCAGCUCCGCCUCAGCAGGUACAGCCAGGAGUCCCCGAGCCACUCUCCUCUUACUGACCUUAGUACCCGCUCGGUCCCGCUCUCACCUCCAGACUGGUGCUAGGCCAGUGUCCUCAAAGUGGCCACCAAGACUUUCCUGAGUGCAUCGCGGCCUCCCCUCCCCUCAUCCCCUCUCCCUAUUCCUCUUUCUACCCAGGCCAGGAAACCAAUGGGAAAUCCCGAAGUGUACUUCGGCUUUGAUUGUAUAGUUUGAUGGCUUUGUCACCUGUGCCCGUUUAGAGUGGGUUAAGGAAUAAUGACUUCUGAAGGGUGGGUCUGGGCCAGGAUGGAUGCAUGUGCCAAGGUGAAAAGGAAUUUCAAAGAGAAAAGAUACUGGCUACUUCCUCCGUAGGUUCCCACACUCUUCCAUGGAGAGCUCAAAAAGGGAACCUGGAGCAUUGGGAGGAGAAGGUGGGGGCGUUAGUCCUUAGUUCUCAGAGGUUAACAAAGCUAGGGCUUCGAAAACCUGGGCCAAAACAGGACCUCGGAGAACGAGGCCUUCCUCCCCCACAGAUGGGAAACAGAUGGGAAACUCCAGCGUGAGAGGAUUGUUAGUGGUCACAGAGCUAACACAAGAGACUACAGAACUCUAGUUCCUAGCCGUUAUUUAUACAUAAAACACACACACACAACACCACACACACACAACACACACACACACACACACACACACACACACACACAUGUAAUCAGGAUCAAGCAUGGAAAAGCCAGAUCUUUACCCUUAACUGCUUCUCCAGGUCUCUGCUGGCCUGUGCCCUAGACCUGAGCAGUGUGACUAGAUGGAUGGUGGAGGUACCUGGGCUUGAACUAAACCUAAAAUGGCGGUUAGAGGAAGAAAGACAGGUGGAUGGGAAGAGCUUGGGCUGAGGGCAGGGGUGAGCUAGGUCUUUUUGCCCCUAAGAGUGUUUGCCCCUGUUCAUGGGGAGGCUGGGUGCGUGGAGGGGGCAGACAGUGGAACACUGAAUCACCACACGGAAUGGGUGUCAUGGAGCCCUGGCCUGAGUAGAGUAGAAAAUGUGUACACCGGGAAGCCAGGGCUUUAGCAAGGAUUUCAUUUGUGGUGGGAAUAGCAUUUGCAGCCCGGCACUAUAGAACUUUUACCAUAUAGAAGACAGACAAGGGGCUGGAGACAUGGCUCAGCAGUUUGAGAGCACUGGCUGUUCUUCCAGAGGGGCUCAGGUUCAAUUCCCAGCACCCACAUGGCAGCUCACAGAGCCAGUUCCAGGGGGCCCAACACCCUCACACAGAUACCAGUGAAGCCAAAAAACUAGAGUAUGUAAAUAAAACUGAAUAUAAACUAGAAUAUGUAAAUAAAACUAAAUCAUUUAAAAAUUUUUAAAUAUUGCUGGUAAAGGGAAAAUUGCUUAUAGAAUUGGUUGUAGAUGGAUAAUAAAAAUAAUCACAAAGUUGUGCUCACU
rnacentral:lncRNA from 1 species